UACGUAGGGGGCAAGCGUUGUCCGGAUUUAUUGGGCGUAAAGAGCGUGUAGGCGGCCAGGUAGGUCGGUUGUGAAAACUGGAGGCUCAACCUUCAGAGGUCGACCGAAACCAUCUGGCUAGAGUCCGGGAGAGGAGAGUGGAAUUCCUGGUGUAGCGGUGAAAUGCGCAGAUAUCAGGAGGAACACCGGUGGCGAAGGCGGCGACCUGGGUCGAGACUGACGCUGAGGCGCGAAAGCGUGGGGAGCAAACAGG
rnacentral:rRNA from 1 species